GUACAGGCAUAACCAAUGGUUUGAUCAAGGCAAGGCAGGCAAUUGGCAAGGAUUUUGGAGUUGAAGCAGAGGAUGUGCCCAUAAUAUCAACCAGUGUGGCCUACGGUGUCUACAUGGCCACUUCAAGCAACCUUAGGUACCAAGUGUUGGCGGGUGUCAUAGAACAGCGUAUUUUGGAGCCAUUGCUACACAACAACAAACUGGCACUCAGUGCCUUGUGCUUUGCAGUUCGCACAGGAAAUACAUUCUUGGGAUCACUUCUGUGGGUUGAUUAUGCUCGCUGGGUGGGCGUUCAAAAGAGUCAUGAAUAGCAGACUCGUACCGACAUUCCAAUUUGCAUCGCCAGCUGAAAUCUGUGUAGGGAAAGGUUGAUUUGAAUAUUCUUAUCAAAACUCUAUACGAUAUAUACAAACGUAACUACGUACAGCAAUAAUUCAGCAUGGUACGAGUCUACUUUGGAACAAGGGCAUUACCUGUGUUAAAAUCAAACGCUUUGUCACAUAAAAACUCUUAUUCAAAUGUAGGAUGGUUAUAAAGGUAUAAUAGAGAGUGGUAUCACGGGUCUGCUUUGACAUGUACAUUUUGUUGGAGCUGCUAAAGGUGGUGUAAUUGAAGGUGUAAUUGAAGCGCAGAUAGAAUGAUGGUAUAGCAUUGUUUAGGCAGAGUGACUAUCUUUUUGAAAUAAAAUUUUCUUGUACAACAAUCAUCUUGUAAGAUACAAUUUUAUCUUGUGAUAGUAGUUGUAAAUCACAAGAAUUUUGAAUCGAAAAUGCUUCUCGAACUUUCUAGAA